UGAUUUAAAUAAAAAAAGGGACGAAUGGAGAACUAGGAUGGGCUAAAUAGGACGGAAGGACCGAAAAGGCGAGGAAGAGGCUUCGAAAUCGUAUAUCCAGGCGGAAGCGCAGUGAAGAGAGCUGGGAAGUGAAACAUCUCAGUACCAGAGCCGACUCACAAGAGCCAUUCCAAGCUAUUAAAGCUUGGAAUGGCCCUUGAGGGUCCGUGGCGCAGAGAAAUCAAACGAGAUUCCGUAAGUAGCGGUGAGCGAAAGUGGAUUAGUCCAAUGACUUAUUGAAGCGAGUAAAUAGUGGAAGAUAGGUGACCACACAUCUAAGACUAAAUGUUAGCCCCAUACCGAAAGAGAGAGUACUGUAAAGGAAAGUUGAAAGAGACUUGAAAAGAUCUUGAAAUGAGUCCCUUAAAGCAGUUGUUAUACAACGUACCUUUUGUAUAAUGGGUUCACAAGAUAAAAUUUGGCAAACUUAAGUUAAACCCGAUUUCUGAUACGUAUGUGCGUUUCUUACUCGGUUUAAAGAGCGAAGGUGAAGUGAAAUCAAGGGGGAAACCCCUUCAGUCAAAUUGCCCGAAACCAAGUGAUCUAACCAUGGGCAGUUCAAAGGAACGAACCGGUGGUUGUAGCAAAAACCUCGGAUGACCUGUGGUUAGGGGUGAAAGACCAAUCGAACUUGGAGAUAGCUGGUUUUCUGCGAAAACUAUUGAAGUAGUGCGCCCACAAAUCAGAGCCCUUAUCUCAAUGCGCUCUCGAAGAGAUCGAGAUUACACCGAGAUAUAGGGAUUAUUUUUUCAUGGUAAAGUUCGAUCGCUCAAAACUGAGGGAUUAACUAUGAAUGUAAAAAAAUCGAAGUGGGCAGACAGACAGUAGGCGAUAAGGUCAAUUGUCAAAAGGGCAAGCCCUAAUCAGAAGUUAAAGUCAUAGAUCGAUUUUGGAUUCAAAAGGAUCCAAAUAGUCAAGUGAAAAGAGAUAUUGAUUUAGACAAUGAGGAAGUAGGCUUGGAGCCAGCCACCUUUGAAAGAUGACGUAGCAGUUCACUCAAGAAAUUCUCCUAUCUCUAAAAUUAGGGUGGCUAAAGUUGAACUGAAACUCUGAGGGCGAAAUUCGCUUGGUAGCAGAACGUACUGUCAAAUGGUUCAGUGAGAACCUUAAGCAUCAGAAGUGAUAAUGUGAACAUGAGUAAAAAAUCGUCGGAUCACUUCCCCAGGUUUCCAAGCUCGAGGGCUUGGGUAAUACAGUCCCUAAGAUGGCAGCCCAAAGGUUGCAUCGAUGGGCCACAGUAAUAGACGCACUUGGUGCCAGGAAAGAAUUACUAGAUAUUCGACCCUCCCAUUUCGAUGACAUCUCAUCGAGUUCCCAUAGAGUCUUUAGCUCAUUGGGAAUGAGAUGAGAACUUUAUGAGAUGAGAGUUAUAAAGGUUGCACUGUACUAACCUAACACAAGUGGGGAAUAGUGAGGGGAAAAGUUUUCUUAAGGAACUCGGCAAAAUUUUGGACUCCCAUUAGGGGGUUUUAUUACAACACAGGGCCUCGACUGUUUACCAAAAACAUAGCUCUCUGCCAAUAUGAAAAUAGAAGUAUGGAGGGUGAGGCCUGCCCAAUGGUUGUAUCUAAAAGGGUCGGUAAGAGCCGACUUCAUAAAGACAAUUGAAUGGCCGCGGUAACACUGACCGUGAUAAUGUAGCGUAAUCAAUAGCCAAUUAAUUGUUGGCCGGUAUGAAUGGCGUCACGAAGGCCCCACUGUCUUAAGAAAAUUCCCAGUGAAAUUGAAUUCGUAGUGAAGAUGCUACGUCCAAAUUGUUAGACGAAGAGACCCCAUUGAGCUUUACUGGAAACUUAUGCGGCUCAAAUAGACUCCUGCUCUGAUCUAUUUGGAGUAAGGAGUUAAAACUUAAAUAAGUAGCUAAGAUUAUGUGGUGUAAGACGUCUCGUCAGAGUCCGGUUCUUCGAUCUCUAUGUCAUAGACAUGCGAUCGAUUUAGAUCUAGGAUUUAACCGUUUUAGGCCAUGUCAUCGACUAGGCUAAUGGAACCCACUCUUUUAUUUUAAGAGAGCUAACUCUCCUUCAUCGCGGUGCGUAAUAGUGAGAGGAACGACGUAAGUUGGACAGUUUGGUUGGGGCGACCGCCUUUAAAAAAGUAACGAAGGUGAGCUUAAGGUGCAUAAUUAAUAGCAGCAGCCUGACUGCGAGGGGGACGUCCCGAGCAGACACCGGAAGCUGUCAAGAACCAUUACAUGGUCCAGGGUUUUCGCUUCCAUUGCGAUCGCUAUGCGAUGACAUGCGAUGAGAUGACGCAAGUCCUUAGGGCGGCGGAGGGUGGGCCAUAAUGACCCGUUAAUUUAGAGUGGAAUAGUUAACGAUCAACGGAUAAAAGCUACCAUGGGGAUAACAGCGUAAUAUCGUUAGAGAGCUUCCAUCGACGACGAUGUUUGCGACCUCGAUGUUGAAUUGCAGCAUCCUGGGGUGCAGCCGCUCCCAAGGGUUGGUCUGUUCGUCCAUUAAGGCUGUACAUGAUUUGAGUUAAAAGCGUGGUAACACAGCUUGGUUUCUAUCUACAAUUUGAAGAAACAUCGAUAUAACUAUUUUCUAGUACGAAAGGACCGAAGAAUUAGGGAUCCUCUUAUUCUUUAUAAGUUACGAUCCAUUUAGAUCCUUUAGGACCAUGGCCCCAUAAGGAGGUUGGGGUCUUUCAGCUAAUCACUGACCGCCUCUAAAGUGUGAAGAAUAUAUCGAAUUGUUUGGAUCUUAUUUUU
rnacentral:rRNA from 1 species